rnacentral:rRNA from 1 species
GACGGAGGAUGCAAGUGUUAUCCGGAAUCACUGGGCGUAAAGCGUCUGUAGGUGGUCAAAUAAGUCAACUGUUAAAUCUUGAGGCUCAACCUCAAAAUCGCAGUCGAAACUAUUCGACUAGAGUAUAGUAGGGGUAAAGGGAAUUUCCAGUGGAGCGGUGAAAUGCGUAGAGAUUGGAAAGAACACCGAUGGCGAAGGCCCUUUACUGGGCUAUUACUAACACUGAGAGACGAAAGCUAGGGUAGCAAAUGGG